rnacentral:rRNA from 1 species
AGAGUUUGAUCCUGGCUCAGAUUGAACGCUGGCGGAAUGCUUUACACAUGCAAGUCGAACGGUAGAGGGGGCAACCCCUCGAGAGUGGCGAACGGGUGAGUAAUAUAUCGGAAUGUGCCCAGUCGUGGGGGAUAACGUAGCGAAAGUUACGCUAAUACCGCAUACGAUCUACGGAUGAAAGCGGGGGACCGUAAGGCCUCGCGCGAUUGGAGCGGCCGAUAUCAGAUUAGGUAGUUGGUGGGGUAAAGGCUCACCAAGCCAACGAUCUGUAGCUGGUCUGAGAGGACGACCAGCCACACUGGAACUGAGACACGGUCCAGACUCCUACGGGAGGCAGCAGUGGGGAAUUUUGGACAAUGGACGCAAGUCUGAUCCAGCCAUUCCGCGUGCAGGAUGAAGGCCCUCGGGUUGUAAACUGCUUUUGUACGGAACGAAAAGGUUUCCAUUAAUACUGGGAGCUCAUGACGGUACCGUAAGAAUAAGCACCGGCUAACUACGUGCCAGCAGCCGCGGUAAUACGUAGGGUGCAAGCGUUAAUCGGAAUUACUGGGCGUAAAGCGUGCGCAGGCGGUUAUGUAAGACAGAGGUGAAAUCCCCGGGCUCAACCUGNGAACUGCCUUUGUGACUGCAUAGCUAGAGUACGGUAGAGGGGGAUGGAAUUCCGCGUGUAGCAGUGAAAUGCGUAGAUAUGCGGAGGAACACCGAUGGCGAAGGCAAUCCCCUGGACCUGUACUGACGCUCAUGCACGAAAGCGUGGGGAGCAAACAGGAUUAGAUACCCUGGUAGUCCACGCCCUAAACGAUGUCAACUAGGUGUUGGGGGAGGAGACUUCCUUAGUACCGUAGCUAACGCGUGAAGUUGACCGCCUGGGGAGUACGGUCGCAAGAUUAAAACUCAAAGGAAUUGACGGG